rnacentral:snRNA from 1 species
GUGCUUGCUUUGGCAGCACAUAUUCUAAAAUUGGAAAAAUACAGAGAAGAUUAUUAGCAUGGCCCCUGUGCAAGGAUGACACACAAAUUCAUGAAGCAUUCCGUAUUUUU